GAUGAAGAACGCAGUGAAAUGCGAUAAGUAAUGUGAAUUGCAGAAUUCAGUGAAUCAUCGAAUCUUUGAACGCACAUUGCGCCCGGUAGUAUUCUGCCGGGCAUGCCUGUUCGAGCGUCAUUUCAACCAUCAAGCCCCAGCGCUUGUGUUGGGGGCCUGCGGCUGCCGCAGCCCCCUAAAAGCAGUGGCGGGCUCGCUAUCACACCGAGUGCAGUAGUUCAUCUUCUCUCCGGUCUUGUGAGGCGGGUUCCGGCCGUGAAACACCCCACUACAUUCAAGGUUGACCUCGGAUCAGGUAGGAAUACCCGCUGAACUUAAGCAUAUCAAUAAGCGGGGA
rnacentral:misc_RNA from 1 species